UCAAAGUCAGAAAACUGAGAUAUAAUAUUAUAGAUUAGCGUAAUUACUAAAAACCAUUGUUUUUAAAUGAGCCUAAAUGUACUCUUUAGUUAGAGUGUGUGUGUGUGUGUGUGUGUGUGUGUGUGUGUGUGAGUGAUCACGGUGACACUGUGACGACACAUGAUCUUCGUCAAAGAGGAUCAACGUGUAUUAUAAUUGAC
rnacentral:sRNA from 14 species